GAUGAACGCUGGCGGCGUGCCUAAUACAUGCAAGUCGAGCGAACGGACGAGAAGCUUGCUUCUCUGAUGUUAGCGGCGUACGUGUGAGUAACAUGUGGUUAACCUACCUAUAAGACUGGGUUAACUUCGGGAAACCGGAGCUAAUACCGGAUACUUUUUUGAACCGCAUGGUUCAAAAGUUAAAGACGGUCUUGCUGUCACUUCUAGAUGUAUCCGCGCUGCAUUAGCUAGUUGGUAAGGUAACGGCUUACCAAGGCAACGAUGCAUAGCCGACCUGAGAGGGUGAACGGGCACACUGGAAGUGAGAGGCGGUACAGACUCCUAGGGGAGGCAGAAGUAGGGAAGGGUCGGAAAAGGGCGAAAGCCUGACGGAGCAACGCCGCGUGAGUGAUGAAGGGCUGCGGAUCGUAAGACUCUGUUAGUAGGGAAGAACAUAUGUGUAAGUAACUGUGCACAUCGUGACGGUACCUAAUCAGAAAGCAACGGCUAACUACGUG
rnacentral:rRNA from 1 species